rnacentral:rRNA from 1 species
CCUACGGGGAGCUGCAGUGGGGAAUAUUGGACAAUGGGCGAAAGCCUGAUCCAGCCAUGCCGCGUGUGUGAAGAAGGCCUUCGGGUUGUAAAGCACUUUCAGUGGGGAAGAAAGCCUUGGGGCUAAUACCCUCGAGGAAGGACAUCACCCACAGAAGAAGCACCGGCUAACUCCGUGCCAGCAGCCGCGGUAAUACGGAGGGUGCGAGCGUUAAUCGGAAUUACUGGGCGUAAAGCGCGCGUAGGCGGUCUGAUAAGCCGGUUGUGAAAGCCCCGGGCUCAACCUGGGAACGGCAUCCGGAACUGUCAGGCUAGAGUGCAGGAGAGGAAGGUAGAAUUCCCGGUGUAGCGGUGAAAUGCGUAGAGAUCGGGAGGAAUACCAGUGGCGAAGGCGGCUUUCUGGACUGACACUGACGCUGAGGUGCGAAAGCGUGGGUAGCAAACAGGAUUAGAUACCCGAGUAGUC